ensembl:miRNA gmo-mir-204-2 gmo-mir-204-2
UUCCCUUUGUCAUCCUAUGCCUGGGGCAUCCAAUAAGGCAGGGACAGCAAAGGGA